UACGUAGGCAGCGAGCGUUGUUCGGAGUUACUGGGCGUAAAGAGUGCGUAGGCGGUUUUCUAAGUUUGGUGUGAAAUCUCCCGGCUCAACUGGGAGGGUGCGCCGAAGACUGGAAGGCUUGAGUAUGGGAGAGGUAAGCGGAAUUCCUGGUGUAGCGGUGAAAUGCGUAGAUAUCAGGAGGAACACCUGCGGUGUAGACGGCUUACUGGACCAUAACUGACGCUGAGGCACGAAAGCCAGGGGAGCAAACGGG
rnacentral:rRNA from 1 species